UGAAUUUCAGUGAAGACUCUUUCACCCACUUUGCUUGACUCCCAAGCCAUGGAACUACUGGAAAUACAGCCUUCUCUAAUCUGCCAUUUUGAAUCUGCAAUACAUAAAUGUACUGUUGUUAACCCAGGAAAAAGAUAUAGCUGUUUUUAUUAAACCAAAACUAUUAAGUUAGUCUUGUUUGUGAAAGAUUUGCUCUUAUUAAUAUGAACUGGAUUCUCAAAAUAUGUCUUAGUUUUAGUGAGAAGGAGUUUAUUUAAGCUCAGCAUAUUUCAAGCAUUAGAAUUUCAGUCUCCUUAUUCUGGGAAUUUUCGGAAUAUUCAGUUAUAUAAGAGCUUAUUUAUCCCUAUGUCAGUCAGAAUAGUACUCCUUUAAUUUGAGAGGCUCCACACUGUCAUUUAUUAAUAUUCCCUGUAGAUACUUCAUCCUCACAUAAUGAGAGGUAAGAGCCUUUCUGAAUUUUAGUCAUACAGAGACAGAGCCUAUCAUUUCAGCUGUACAUAUUUGGCACAAGUCAAGAGUAAGCACAGAGUCACAAAACUCACUGGUCCACAUGUCAAAGAGAUGUUCUCCUUUCCAGUGAGCAUAACAUUUUUAAUCAAUGUGAACUAAAAAAAAGAAAGAAAGAAAAGAAAAAAAGACAAAUAGAGAAAUAAUUAUUUUCCAAGCCUGACAAAUCAGAUUCUCUUAUCCAACAUAUAUAUAUCAUCAUCUACCUACUAUAAUCUUUAGAUAAUCAUACUAUGAAACCAAAGCCCUUAUCAUUGCUCUUACUAAUGGGAAAUAAUCUAUGUGCCAUAAAUGAACAACAACAACAAAAAGACAUAAAAUUAGUAGAGAGGGAAAAAAAUCUAAUGAAACAGAGAACCAACAGAUUUAAAGUUCUGCUUUGGAUUCACCUCUGAGAACCACAAAAAGACAGGCUAGAGUAUAAACUGCUCAGGAGGAAGACUUCUCUUGGAAUUCCAUUCAUCUGGCUCUGCCAGGUGAAUCCAUGGGCAUCCCAAUGGAUUUAAAACUGAUUUUUUUAAAAAAAAAUUUUAAAAAAUCAUGAUUUUCAUACACAUUGUAAUGAGUGGGCUAUUCCAUUUACAUAGAUAAACAAGUUUUCGUCUUUCCACAAUGUCAGGAUUUAUUGAACAUCAAUAAAUUCACAAGCUACAUCAGUUUCAUCAGCUUUAGUUCACUAAGUACUCCUGAUUUUACUUGGUAGUCAUGACUGUGGCAAUUCAAGUUCUUUAUUCCAUUCCAAUCUUAAUUACUAAUAUCUAUAAUAUGCAAAUCACUCAUUAUAGUUCAUGCAGUGGUAAAAGGUUACAAAGAGGCUGAAAAAGAGUUAAGGUGGCCACAGAAUAUGAAGAGGUAAUACAAAGAACAAAUACAAAUACAAAGAACAAAUACAAAGAGCCACUGCAGAUGAUCAGAAAAGGAGUUAGUGAAGACAGCCAUGAAGCUAGCUGUCAAGGUGAAAGGGUCUUGAUAAAUCCUUAAAUCCAUGUGUCCCUGAUUUAAUUUGAUAAGGUAGUAAUUUUUUAUAAGCAUGAAUAAAUUAUCAGUAUGUGCCUUAUAAUUGUUCUUUAGAGCUGGUGGUGGUUCUUCUGUGUGUCCAACAUGUGAUGGUUUUCUACUUGCACAAACAAGAUGCUGGUUCAUUUUGCCUUAGCACUUGUACUGCAAAUGGAGUAACUUAGGGCAGAGCACAGCCUGCUAUCUUCAGAUAUAAAAGGAAGAUGUAUCAAAAUGUAUUCAGCUGAUUAAUAAGGAAUAGAUUAUUUAAUGAGGAAACCAAUAGAUGUCAAAAUUGACCCAGAAGAGAAUUUACUAAUGCAAACAUAUGUAAGUUAUCAGACAUGUUGAAAUGAAUUUAUAAACAGGUAUGAAACUGAUCAAUACUCACAGGGCAGUUUUUUGUCUUACACUAAACAAAAUGUAUUUGUACUACUAUAAGUUGUCUACAAUUUACUGAGUUGUAAGAUAAAGACAAUGAAAAGCGCAGCCAUAUAGUAUCAGAUAACCCCAAAAGACACAUUUGACAAAAAACCUGGUAGUCUUUUUGCUGUUGUUGUUGUCUACUUCAAACAGAACAACCCAGGUAGCAGCCCUUUCAGUCCUUGGCUUUUUGGCAAAGUUAGACACAAGUCAAACAGCCUUCCGUCUACAACUUAGUAGUCUCUUAGAGUAAAAGUGGGGGAAGGGUUUGUGUUCACCUAUGCCUGCACUACUAGCUGGUGAGGCCUUGACUUGUGGCCUCACUUUCCUCCGGGCAUCUUAUGACCUAUCCUGGGAUCACCUAGAAAUAAGCAUUGCAGGGUGGAGG
rnacentral:lncRNA from 1 species